rnacentral:tRNA from 2 species
GCCGGUGUGGCGGAAUGGUAGACGCGGCGGACUCAAAAUCCGUUGGUGGCGACACUGUGUGGGUUCGAGUCCCUCCACCGGUACCA